CCUUUUGUUCUUUUUUUUUUUUUUUUUACUUCUUCUUCCUCCUUCGAAGCUCCCGGUUCUUCCAACUAAUCCUUCUUUAAUGUUCAUAACCAAAGAGCUCAAACCGCUCUCCGAUGGCGCUCUCUUUAUCCCUACAACUCAUUCACUUCCCUCCUCGACCCCUAUCCUCAUCCUCUCACCACCUUCUCAUCUCUGACCUCACCUCUGUCUCCCGCUUCUUCCGAUCUCCAUGUCUUUCCUCUUUGGCUCCGUCCCGAGACUGCGCCCUGAAGUUAUCUUCCAGAACCAAGUGUUUCUCCAUGUCCACCGAGGAGGAGCAGUGGAGUGAAUCGGAAGCGUUUGUCUCCGAUGUGGACGAAGGGGGAGAUCUUGAGGAUGAUAUUGAUAUUAGUGUUCGGGAAGACAGCUCUGUUGCCACUGCUGCUUCUGCGCAGAGGAUUUCUUCUUCUUCUUCUUCUUCACCGAGUGAUUAUCUCUCGCUUGCGAUUCGAGAGCAGGUUUAUGAGGUGUUAGAGGUUAAAGCUGAUGGAACCGUAUCCACCAGGAAGGUUAAUAGACGGCAGCUGUUGAAGUCAAGUGGGCUUCGUCCUCGUGAUGUCCGAAGUGUUGAUCCAUCUUUAUUUUUGACAAACUCAAUGCCUACAUUACUGGUACGUGAGCAUGCUAUUUUGCUUAAUCUGGGAUCGUUGCGAGCAAUAGCCAUGCAGGAUUGUGUCCUCAUAUUCGAUUAUAACCGUCCAGGAGGACAAGCUUUUAUUGAAUCAUUGUUGCCUCGAUUGAACCCAAAAAACAUGAAUGGAGUGCCGGCAAUGCCAUUUGAACUCGAGGUUGUUGAAGCUGCAUUGCUUUCACGAACUCAGCGUUUGGAGCAGCGACUAAUGAAAGUAGAACCUCGUGUUCAAGCUCUGCUUGAGGUAUUGCCCAACAAAUUAACUGCAGAUGUGUUGGAACAACUUCGUAUUAGCAAGCAGACACUGGUUGAAUUAGGUUCUAGAGCAGGGGCUCUCAGACAAAUGCUUCUUGAUCUUCUGGAGGAUCCACAAGAAAUUCGGCGCAUCUGUAUUAUGGGUAGGAAUUGCACGCUGAAUAAAAGAAAUGAUGAUGUGGAGUGCACUCUUCCUUUGGAUAAGCAGAUUGCUGAUGACGAGGAAGAAGAAAUAGAAAUGCUGUUGGAAAAUUAUCUCCAGAGAUGCGAAUCUUGUCAUGGUCAGGCUGAAAGGCUUCUGGAUUCUGCAAAAGAAAUGGAAGAUUCAAUUGCCGUAAAUUUAAGCUCCCGGCGAUUAGAGGUUAGCAGAGUGGAAUUGCUUCUCCAAGUUGGCACAUUUUGUGUGGCAGUUGGUGCUUUAGUUGCAGGAAUAUUCGGCAUGAACUUACGAUCAUAUCUUGAAGAACACGUGUUUGCCUUUUGGUUAACAACAGCUGGGAUAAUCGUUGGUGCUGUUGUGGCAUUCUUUCUCAUGUAUUCAUAUCUCAGAGAUAGGAGAAUCCUAUAGCUAACUACUUGUUCAGUGUACCAAGAUUGUUUAGACUAGGUACCAGGUACAAGAUCAUUUAGACCGGACACAAUACAAGAUCGUGUACCAAGAUCGUUAAGACUAAGUAUAGGGAUACAAGAUCAUUUACUCUAUACAAGAGUACAAGAUUGUUUAGACUAGGUCAUUCAACACUCAAUAUUGAAGGGGGUUGCUAUGUCCCAGUGAUGGAGAUGAAAAUUGUGAAGGUCGGUAUAGCCAUAUAUCCAACGAGUAAUCAAUUUUCUCAUAUAUUUAUUACGGUGGCAGCUGCAUUUAUUAUUAGGCCAUGAGCCAAUAUUUGCACCAUCCCUCAGUUUGGUUUAUGAAACAAAAGGAGGAUAAAUCGUGACUUUGCCUCCUACCCACAUUCUUCUGUUGAAGCUCAUGAGUUCAAUGGGGAGAGGGGAGUUCCAUUUCAUCUCAACCAUUUGAAGAUUCGUUUUUGUUCAACAAUUGAGAGUGGAAAAUUUAACCCUCCAUCUUCACAAUGAUAUUAUUUUAUCCAUCGACCUAUAUUCAAAUUGACUUUCAAAGGUUAUUUAGUUGACUGAAAUGACAUUUAAAGGUUAGUGAUAUCCCUUCGUUUUUUUUUAAAUUUAAUUAGAUGAAUGUUACAUAUUUGUAUCCCACACAAUUAAUUGAAACGUUUUAAUUAAAUCUGAUUGAUUUAUACGUGUUUUGGUAA